AUUAUAAUGAAAUUGAACACUUUUUAACAGCCGAGAAAAAAAUCUGUUGCCCAGAUAAUCAACCCUAGAGGGGGGGUGAAUAGGGUUUGUUGGCAAACUGUUCUUUGUAUAAAAAUUAUACUGAAUUAAAAAACAGUAUGAUGCAAAUAAGAUAACAAUGAGGCACAAUAAUAAGAGAUAGGGAAGAGAGAUUUAACUCGGCGAUUUAUAGUGGUUUGGUCUACCUUACCUACGGCUACUCCCAACACAGCACCACUCUGAGAUUUAAUCCCCUAAUCCAACUCCUUCCUUUGCGGGUGGAGUUCAAAACCUUUAACACGCCAAGAGCACACACUCUUCUUACAAAGGUGGAAAAUCCCCUUCACACCUUCACAAGGGUCACACCAACCUCAAGGGUCCACACUAAGAUACAAUCAACUGUCGAUAGGAUUUGAGAUUUCUCUCACCAUACAUUCUCCUUUUCUGAGAGGGAUAUACAAUGAAGUUUUUACAAUGAUAUCUCUCACUAGAACUCUGUAUGAAUUAAAACUGAAAGGCUUCAAAGGAAAUUGAAGGAAUAUGCUUUGAGUUCUAAGCUUGUUUUCCUACUCUUGAUUGUCCUUGAAAAAUAAGAACUAGGAGAUGUAUUUAUAGGCUUAGUAAGAAUAUAACCGUUGGCGGGAAAUUUUGAAAUUUGCUAGCCAAUUUUUCAAAAUUGAAAUCACAUUUUUUCAAAGUCCAAAUUGUUGCAUCCAAAAUUUCAAAAGUUUGCAACCACAUUUCCAAAUUCAAAUUGUUGCUACCAAUUUUUCAAAGUUGCAAUCACAUUUUCAAAUUCAGAAUUGUGCUACCAUUUUCAAAUUUGGAAUCAAAUUUUCAAAGUCAUAAAUUUGUUGCUAACCAAUUUUUCAAAUUGGAAUCAAUUUCAAGUCAGAAUUGUUCUACCAAUUUUUCAAAUUUGGAAUCAAAUUUUCAAAGUCAAGAAAUUAUUGCUUGCCCAUUUUUUAAAAUUAUAAUUAAAUUUUCAAAAACAAAAUUAUUACUAGCACAUUUUAAGAACUCUACGUCUUGUUGCACUUUUGUAUUUUAAAAUGCAUAGAUAUUAGGUCCCCCCCCCAUUGUUAGAGUCUCAGAUUUAACAACCAUACAAAGACUUUACGAAAAAUACCCUAAUGAAGUUUCUUCAUUCUUGAGAUCUUCAGUGCUUUAAGUCUUCUUGCUUUGUAGUCCAAUCUUUUUCGAUUAUUUUUGCUCCUUGAGAAUAUGUUGCUGAAUGUUUCUUUGCCACUAUCUACUUGAAUUAAAUACUUGAGCAAUAGAUCGAAUUGUUAUCAUCAAAAUAUUUGCAACAUAAUUUGGUGACGCCAUAAGGGCUAAACACUCUCCCUUUUUUGAUGAUACAAAUUAUGAUAUAACAUUUUAAGUACAUUGUAUUCUAAUUAUUACUGUUAAAGAUAUGUAAACCACUGAGAAGAUGCUUUUUUUAUUAAUUAAGUUCAUUGUUGGGAAUAAACAAUUUUUUGCAUAUCCUUAUUUCUCCCCUUUUGACAUAACAAAAGGCAUAUGUAGAAGCUCCCUGCGAAGAUGCUCCCCUUUUUUAAUGAAUGAAGUAUAUCUAACGAUAAAUAGGAUUUAAAGCUGCUAAAUAUGAACAUUGAAUCCAAGGAAGGUGAGGCCAAGCAAUCAGGAAAGAUUAUGAUUGAGACAAAACCAUAAUCCGUUGUUCUUUUCUUUCUCCUCUCUUCUGUCUAGAUUAUUAUCAUGGAAAAGAAAUCCAUGAUGACAAGAAGAGGAGAUCUUCAUCUUAGAACAUGAUCAAGAAUAAUCUUGCUUCUAUUGACAUGAUCAAGAAUAGUCCUUGCUUCUUUGUUUCUGAAUCAAGUUUGUGAUCAUCUUUUCUUGCUUUUAGAAUUUAGACUGAUGAAAUUACGUUGCGAUGCGCUAUAUCUUUCUUCUUAAGAAGGAUAUAUUCUGAAACUAAGAAAAAAAGAAAAGAUUUUAGGCUUUCACAGAGUAUGAAAGGCUGGAGAACAGAUAUGUGCUUUGGCAAUACAGAAGACACGUGAAUAUAUAAUGAAUUUGCCAGGAAAUAGGUGUUAGUGACGCAUGUGGAUGACGCAUAUGAUCUGACCAAUAACAAAAAUAAAAAAAUUGCAAUCAAGAUUUUCAGUGGUAGAUGCGGCUGUGCUCAGAAAUGGACGACUUUUAGGCCAUUUUUGUCGCGAAAAAAAUCUCUUUCCUAGAUCCCAAAAUAGUUCUCUUCUUCUUUCUCCUUCCGGUUCUUUGAGACAAUUUCAUUUACGAUACUAGUUUCUUUCCUUAAUUUUCAACAAUGGCUUCUUCUUCUCAAAUAAAUUUGAUCUGAAUGCUGUGCUACUGUACAACCAGAAAUUUGGCAUUCAUCAUCUUUAUCUCAAAAGGUCCUCUCAUGACUAAUGGCUCUGUGAUGCUAGAUGAUGCAGUUGCUGCCCAGUAGCUAGGAAGGGAUCAAAUUACUCCACAAGAUGGAAAAGUUAUUGGC
rnacentral:lncRNA from 1 species